rnacentral:rRNA from 1 species
GAUGAACGCUGGCGGCGUGCCUAAUACAUGCGAGUCGAGCGAACAGAUAAGGAGCUUGCUCCUUUGACGUUAGCGGCGGACGGGUGAGUAACACGUGGGUAACCUACCUAUAAGACUGGAAUAACUCCGGGAAACCGGGGCUAAUGCCGGAUAACAUGUUGAACCGCAUGGUUCUACAGUGAAAGGCGGCUUUGCUGUCACUUAUAGAUGGACCCGCGCCGUAUUAGCUAGUUGGUGAGGUAACGGCUCACCAAGGCAACGAUACGUAGCCGACCUGAGAGGGUGAUCGGCCACACUGGAACUGAGACACGGUCCAGAGUCCUACGGGAGGCAGCAGUAGGGAAUCUUCCGCAAUGGGCGAAAGCCUGACGGAGCAACGCCGCGUGAGUGAUGAAGGUCUUCGGAUCGUAAAACUCUGUUAUUAGGGAAGAACAAAUGCGUAAGUAACUGUGCGCGUCUUGACGGUACCUAAUCAGAAAGCCACGGCUAACUACGUG